rnacentral:tRNA from 15 species
CUCUGCUGGUGGCGAUUUUCGGCUUCAAAUGCGUCGAGGGCAAUGGACUUAGAGGUCGAUU